AGAACAGAACUGCAUGUUUACUAGACUAUUAACACAAGAACAACACUUUGGAACUGGCUGCCUCAGCCUUGCCCUGAACUUCCUGCGCAGCACUUACAGUGAUUGAUUUUACAGAUACUUGCCUGCAAAUUUCAGAUGGAUUCUGCUGAAUGCUAGAUGUCAAAGAUGUCAAUGGGACAGCCUGCUUGUUUGCCUCCUUGAGCAUCUUUGUUAUUUGCUGAGUUUUGGCUGUAGGGCCUGUGCUUCCUAUCCAGAAGCUAGAAACUCCUUCCUCCCCGGUGGCUGGAAUCAGAGGACAAGAUGGGCCUCACCUCAGACCUGUUGCCUGCCUCAGGGGCUGGAAGCUUGGGAGCU